CAGCCGCCGCGGGAAUACGAGGGGAGCUAGCGUUGUUCGGAAUUACUGGGCGUAAAGCGCGCGUAGGCGGCUUUUUAAGUCAGAGGUGAAAGCCCGGGGCUCAACCCCGGAAUUGCCUUUGAAACUGGAAAGCUAGAAUCUUGGAGAGGUCAGUGGAAUUCCGAGUGUAGAGGUGAAAUUCGUAGAUAUUCGGAAGAACACCAGUGGCGAAGGCGACUGACUGGACAAGUAUUGACGCUGAGGUGCGAAAGCGUGGGGAGCAAACAGGAUUAGAUACCCGAGUAGUCCCUGUCUCUUAUAC
rnacentral:rRNA from 1 species